AUGAAGCACCUCAGGAAUUGUUCCAACGUCUGAAUCGUUCACUCAAACUAUCCAUUAGUUUGAGGAUGAUACACCGAAGAGAGGUUGGCCUUCACUCCAAGCAGCUGCAAGAACCAUUGCCAGAAAUGAGAGAUGAACUAAGGUCCCCGAUCUGAAACCACAUCUACAGAAAUCCCAUCAAGUUGGAAAAUUUCCCUGAAUACCAGUUUUGCGUUCGUCAGACUUGGGUAUAGGGGCGAAAGACUAAUCAAACCAUCUAGUAGCUGGUACCCUCCGAAGUUUCCCUCAGGAUAGCUGGAGCUCUUGCUGAGUUUUAUCGGGUAAAGCGAAUGAUUAGAGGCAUCGGGGGUGAAACACCCUCGACCUAUUCUCAAACUUUAAAUAGGUAAAGCAGCCGGGGUUGCUCUGUUGAGCCCCGGCCGUGAAUGCGAGCUCCAAGUGGGCCAUUUUUGGUUAAGCAGAUCGACUAGGCCGUUUUCGGUACAUUCGUCCGAGGCAUAGGAUCAUCCGCCCGGUAACCCGGUACCGACCACGACCAUAACGAUUUCCCUAGACAAUUCCUAUGUCACCUCCUACGGUUUGGGUGUCCGGGGGGUACCUGUAUCAUGGAAGACGAGGAUUAGUAAUGCAAUCUCCACUAGCUCUAUCUUUCAUUUUGUGAAAGUACACAGCUAGGUCUCAAAACUGAACUGAGAUUUGCACGACUGAUGCUCGCGAGCCAAUGUACUCAGGUACAUGUCCGGGCCGCACAUCAGAAGUGACUUCCAAAGAUUAGAGCUAAGGAACAUGCUCAACCUGAUCGCUAUCCGUUGACUCAUGGAUCUCGCCGUCUGGACCAGUCGCUGUCAUCCCGUCUUUUUUCUAAGCGGAUGAUUAGAAGCUGGAACAGUCGAGAGUACAAGCACUACCUGGGCAGAGUCAGUGAGAACCCCUUGUGUCGCCGUGGUGUUUAGUUCCAGCGCUCUGGCCAAGAGGGAUUCCUACAGGCCAAGGGUAAAAAAACGCAGCAAAACGAAUCGUUUGUACCCGUUUUUGCGUGGCCAGGAAAGCGGUAGUGAGAUUCCUCGCGACCUUAGUGGUGGGUGCAAGCUCGUUUUGAGCUAUCCCCAAACAAGCACUUCGUUGGCGCUGCUCAUUCUUGCGGUGCGCAACGAAGCGGCUGUUGAUCCUGGAGUGGGCGAGAAGUGUGUGUGGUUGUGCUAGUGCACAGCCUUGCAGCAGCCCAAGAUUGCUCUGCUUGUGGAUGCGCUCCUGGAGAAUGCGGCGGCGGCGGAUGCAAGCGAGAAACCCUAACGUUAGGGUUUUUCCCGUCGCUUCAUACCUUUCGGUGUGAGAAAAUCCAGCGCCCGCAGCCAUGAAGUCGAAUAGCUAUAGCUUGUAAUUAGGUUUGCCGAUCCGUACGGCGUGUUUCUUCGCGCGAGAUUCUGUGAGGAAUCCAAGGUUUUGUUUUUUACCAUGCCACGUCUACUCAUGUAUCCCAUUAGCUUAUUCCUGGGAAAACAGAGUUUUCUGUAAGUAAGGUUUCCUUUAAAAAUUUGUUUUUAAGGAGGACCUUGCUGUGGUUAAGGCGUGGGAUCUGUCUCAGAGUGAGAGAACAGCAACUUGUGUUGUUUUUUAAUUUUUAUCAAUCAAAACACAGUUGUAGUCAAGGGUGCGCUUGCGUUUUUUAGUUCAGCGCGUAACCAAGGACUGCAUGGUAAGUUUGGGGGAACUAAUUCUUUUGUUGUUCACAAUCCAAAACGGCAUAAAUAUCGAAUCUAUUAUGUUUCGAUAUGAUGCUAAAUUGAUGGAUCGUCCUGUCUAGAGGACGGAGUUCCUGGUGCUCAGCUUGAAAUUGCUGAGUCGUCGAGCUGUGGUGGCCUAUUGGCUGGUUCUCUCCAGAUGUCAAAGAGAAUUUCCAAGACUGCUUGUACCGGUGUCAGGGGGCUGGUGAGAAUGAUACGAUCCAGACCACUGAGGAUGAGUCGUCUCAAUGCAUAGCGAUGGAAUCCUUUUUCCACGAAGCAUUCAACGAGAUUAUCAAUCUCGAGGACGACACCACCGGCGGUAUUAAUCAGAUAGAAAAGCGCAAAGACUUGCCCCAGGAUCACCUUGGAUGAGUUUGCAACGGGCCGAUUUGAAUCUCGAUGAAUGUACAGCGAGACUUUGAAUGGAAGUGAUCAACGCUUGUCAUAUUUUGUGGUCAAGAAGGUACCAUCAACUCGUAUGAUCUGAAUCUGAAGGCUCAAGAAGUGAGCGGACAGAUUCACGAGCGAGCCGUCCGUGUUCACGAAUGGAUUGUCCAUCUCGUUCUGCAUGGCCAGGAAACGUAAUGGAUAUAUCCAGAACGGAUUUCCUUCGGAUUCGACUUGAUCGGGGUCAAGGAAUCGGAGGAUCAUGGGGUUAUUCAUUGACACCAGAUCGUCCAUGUAUCAGAACGUAUGUUCGAAUAAGCGCAGCAGAUCAUACUGGCCUAGACGAGCGACUCGAGUGAUAAAGUUAUACUCGAAAUAGAAUAGGUACAGGUUACACCACAGCGGCGAGCACGAGAAGCCCAUAGGAAUCCCUCGGACUUGUCUCCAUACUCUGUCACCCAGCCGGACGUAUGUGUUCCGGAUAAUGAAGUGAUUUAGCUCGAUGACUUUUGUUGGAUCCAUUCUGGUGGCCUUCACUGAUGAGUGGCGUAGAGGUUUCUAUUUGGCCUCAAGCUCGCCGUUCUUCUUUUGAAUCAGAAAAAGGUCCUUAUGGAGGUGGUUUUGGUGCGCGAAAGCCAGAUUGACGAGGUUUGUCAUGGCUGUCGUGAGGCCUUGAUCUCCCUCGAGGGGGAUGGCUUCGUAGCACUUUGUGAUAUCUCCCGUAUAGAUCGUAGUGAUCUUGUCGGGGAGAUUAAUCGCGAACUCCUGUGUGGAUCCAAGGAUCCAGCACGCGUUCGUUUUUCCUCCAAAGAAUUUUGCCCGUGCAUAGAAAUCAUCGGCUACGUUUUGUAGUGCCUCCUGUAUUCCUUUCAGGAUAGCUGUGAGGCAAAAUGUGAUUUCAGAGAAGACACAUCCGUCCGCAUUCGUUAACCAGCGCAUUUUAUUCUUGUGCGCUUUAUAGAUUCCCAUAAGGUAAGGGAGAUCUGGUUUCUGCGGCGGGAAUUCCUGUAAGGGUGGUUCACCAAGCAGUUGUUUUUCAACUUGCUCCGGCGUCUCAGGGACAUUAUUGUCCGAGACUACUAGUGAAAAGUCGUCACUAUUCAUCCGUGCAAGCGCUUGCUCCCGGGCCAACGUUUUGCAAAAGAAGGUGGGUGUGUUGGCCACUUUAUCGGCGCCACUGAUGUACAAGUGUUUAUGUACCCACUCUAAUUGCCGCUUUGCCUCAGGGGUGGUCAUCACAUCUACCAUCGGGGUGGUUUGGCAAUUUUGUACUGCCAUUCGGACCCGGUAAUUGAUAUGCUGUUUAACAGCAGCUUCGUUGCUCGGCCAGUUACGGAUGUAGACAUCGGGGAUCAUACUGGCAAUCCGGUCCCAGGCUUCACAGACUUCAGCAAUGAUUUUUGCUGUCUGGAGCGGUUUCGGGGUGAUGUGAUUGAGACCCUUCUCGAUGACAGUCGUGAGUAUGCGUGAGCCAAGGAUCUUAGGAUCCGGAGUACGCACGUGUCCAGUCUCGUCGAGGUAAGCCACCCAUGGCCAUCGUUUGCAUUCGCAAACCAGUGGUGCAUGCGGGAUGAACCGAAAGCCGGGCUACGGUGCCAAAGUGCGCGCUAACCCAGAUCCCACAAAGGGUGUUGAUUGAUUAAGACAGCAGGACGGUGGUCAUGGAAGUCGAAAUCCGCUAAGGAGUGUGUAACAACUCACCUGCCGAAUCAACUAGCCCCAAAAAUGGAUGGCGCUUAAGCGCGCGGCCUAUGCCCGGCCAUCGCAGCGAUUGCGAGGCCCCGAUGAGUAGGAGGGCGUGGGGGUCGUGGUGCAGCUCUGGGCGCGAGCCCGAGUGAAACGGCCCCCAGUGCAGAUCUUGGUGGUAGUAGCAAGUAUUCAAAUGAGAAAUUUGAAGACUGAAGUGGAGAAAGGUUCCAUGUGAACAGCAAUUGGACAUGGGUUAGUCGAUCCUAAGAGAUGGGGAAAUCCUGUGUGAAGGGCGCAAUGCGCGCCGCCCAUCGAAAGGGAAUCGGGUUAAUAUUCCCGAACCGGGACAAGGCAGUGGGCGGUAACGCCGACGAAUCCAGAGACACUGGCGGGGGCCCCGGGAAGAGUUAUCUUUUCUUUUUAACGGCCUGCCGACCCUGAAAUCGGUUCAACCGGAGAUAGGGUCUCACGGCCGGCAGAGCACCGCACGUCCUGCGGUGUCCGGUGCGCCCCCGGCGGUCCUUGAAAAUCUGGAGGAGAGAGUGCUGAGCUUGCCUGGUCGUACUCAUAACCGCAUCAGGUCUCCAAGGUGAGCAGCCUCUAGUC
rnacentral:rRNA from 1 species